rnacentral:rRNA from 1 species
AGCGUACACGGUGGAUGCCCUGGCAGUCAGAGGCGAUGAAGGACGUGCUAAUCUGCGAUAAGCGUCGGUAAGGUGAUAUGAACCGUUAUAACCGGCGAUUUCCGAAUGGGGAAACCCAGUGUGAUUCGUCACACUAUCAUUAACUGAAUCCAUAGGUUAAUGAGGCGAACCGGGGGAACUGAAACAUCUAAGUACCCCGAGGAAAAGAAAUCAACCGAGAUUCCCCCAGUAGCGGCGAGCGAACGGGGAGCAGCCCAGAGCCUGAAUCAGUGUGUGUGUUAGUGGAAGCGUCUGGAAAGGCGCGCGAUACAGGGUGACAGCCCCGUACACAAAAAUGCACAUACUGUGAGCUCGAUGAGUAGGGCGGGACACGUGGUAUCCUGUCUGAAUAUGGGGGGACCAUCCUCCAAGGCUAAAUACUCCUGACUGACCGAUAGUGAACCAGUACCGUGAGGGAAAGGCGAAAAGAACCCCGGCGAGGGGAGUGAAAAAGAACCUGAAACCGUGUACGUACAAGCAGUGGGAGCACAGAGCAAUCUGUGUGACUGCGUACCUUUUGUAUAAUGGGUCAGCGACUUAUAUUCUGUAGCAAGGUUAACCGAAUAGGGGAGCCGAAGGGAAACCGAGUCUUAACUGGGCGUUAAGUUGCAGGGUAUAGACCCGAAACCCGGUGAUCUAGCCAUGGGCAGGUUGAAGGUUGGGUAACACUAACUGGAGGACCGAACCGACUAAUGUUGAAAAAUUAGCGGAUGACUUGUGGCUGGGGGUGAAAGGCCAAUCAAACCGGGAGAUAGCUGGUUCUCCCCGAAAGCUAUUUAGGUAGCGCCUCGUGAAUUCAUCUCCGGGGGUAGAGCACUGUUUCGGCAAGGGGGUCAUCCCGACUUACCAACCCGAUGCAAACUGCGAAUACCGGAGAAUGUUAUCACGGGAGACACACGGCGGGUGCUAACGUCCGUCGUGAAGAGGGAAACAACCCAGACCGCCAGCUAAGGUCCCAAAGUCAUGGUUAAGUGGGAAACGAUGUGGGAAGGCCCAGACAGCCAGGAUGUUGGCUUAGAAGCAGCCAUCAUUUAAAGAAAGCGUAAUAGCUCACUGGUCGAGUCGGCCUGCGCGGAAGAUGUAACGGGGCUAAACCAUGCACCGAAGCUGCGGCAGCGACGCUUAUGCGUUGUUGGGUAGGGGAGCGUUCUGUAAGCCUGUGAAGGUGUGCUGUGAGGCAUGCUGGAGGUAUCAGAAGUGCGAAUGCUGACAUAAGUAACGAUAAAGCGGGUGAAAAGCCCGCUCGCCGGAAGACCAAGGGUUCCUGUCCAACGUUAAUCGGGGCAGGGUGAGUCGACCCCUAAGGCGAGGCCGAAAGGCGUAGUCGAUGGGAAACAGGUUAAUAUUCCUGUACUUGGUGUUACUGCGAAGGGGGGACGGAGAAGGCUAUGUUGGCCGGGCGACGGUUGUCCCGGUUUAAGCGUGUAGGCUGGUUUUCCAGGCAAAUCCGGAAAAUCAAGGCUGAGGCGUGAUGACGAGGCACUACGGUGCUGAAGCAACAAAUGCCCUGCUUCCAGGAAAAGCCUCUAAGCAUCAGGUAACAUCAAAUCGUACCCCAAACCGACACAGGUGGUCAGGUAGAGAAUACCAAGGCGCUUGAGAGAACUCGGGUGAAGGAACUAGGCAAAAUGGUGCCGUAACUUCGGGAGAAGGCACGCUGAUAUGUAGGUGAAGUCCCUCGCGGAUGGAGCUGAAAUCAGUCGAAGAUACCAGCUGGCUGCAACUGUUUAUUAAAAACACAGCACUGUGCAAACACGAAAGUGGACGUAUACGGUGUGACGCCUGCCCGGUGCCGGAAGGUUAAUUGAUGGGGUCAGCGCAAGCGAAGCUCUUGAUCGAAGCCCCGGUAAACGGCGGCCGUAACUAUAACGGUCCUAAGGUAGCGAAAUUCCUUGUCGGGUAAGUUCCGACCUGCACGAAUGGCGUAAUGAUGGCCAGGCUGUCUCCACCCGAGACUCAGUGAAAUUGAACUCGCUGUGAAGAUGCAGUGUACCCGCGGCAAGACGGAAAGACCCCGUGAACCUUUACUAUAGCUUGACACUGAACAUUGAGCCUUGAUGUGUAGGAUAGGUGGGAGGCUUUGAAGUGUGGACGCCAGUCUGCAUGGAGCCGACCUUGAAAUACCACCCUUUAAUGUUUGAUGUUCUAACGUUGACCCGUAAUCCGGGUUGCGGACAGUGUCUGGUGGGUAGUUUGACUGGGGCGGUCUCCUCCUAAAGAGUAACGGAGGAGCACGAAGGUUGGCUAAUCCUGGUCGGACAUCAGGAGGUUAGUGCAAUGGCAUAAGCCAGCUUGACUGCGAGCGUGACGGCGCGAGCAGGUGCGAAAGCAGGUCAUAGUGAUCCGGUGGUUCUGAAUGGAAGGGCCAUCGCUCAACGGAUAAAAGGUACUCCGGGGAUAACAGGCUGAUACCGCCCAAGAGUUCAUAUCGACGGCGGUGUUUGGCACCUCGAUGUCGGCUCAUCACAUCCUGGGGCUGAAGUAGGUCCCAAGGGUAUGGCUGUUCGCCAUUUAAAGUGGUACGCGAGCUGGGUUUAGAACGUCGUGAGACAGUUCGGUCCCUAUCUGCCGUGGGCGCUGGAGAACUGAGGGGGGCUGCUCCUAGUACGAGAGGACCGGAGUGGACGCAUCACUGGUGUUCGGGUUGUCAUGCCAAUGGCACUGCCCGGUAGCUAAAUGCGGAAGAGAUAAGUGCUGAAAGCAUCUAAGCACGAAACUUGCCCCGAGAUGAGUUCU